UCCAGAAGGCCCUGAGAGAAGAAGAGAAA
rnacentral:piRNA from 2 species